rnacentral:rRNA from 1 species
AUGGGGGAGGCGCCGGCCGCGUCCUCGACCACGGUGGAGAUGGAGGCCGCGGAGCAGCUCAUCCAGCUCAGCGGCGGCGGCUGCGACGACGACAGCGCCGAGUCGGAGUGCAAGAGCGCGGACAGCGUCAGGGCUGACGAGAAGGUGCCGGCCGUGGGGAGCAAGAGCGCGGACAGCGUCAGGGCUGGCGAGAAGGGGCCGGCCGUGGAGAGCAAGAGCGCGGACAGCGUCAAGGCAGCUGGCGAGAAGGCGCGGGCCGCGGAGAGCGUCAUGGCAGCCGGCGAGAAGGUGCCGGACGUGGAGAGCAAGAGCGCGGGCAGCGUCAAGGCCGGCGAGAAGCGGGGAGGUGGUAAAGAGGGGGUGCCCGCCGCUGAGAGCAGCACCGGGAAGAGACGCGAGAAACUCGGUGGGCCGAAGGGCGGCGGACAAGACGAGGAGGCCGUCAUCGGCGGGGUCGCGAGGAGGAGGCCGAGGUUCCGGUCGCUGGCGGCUAUAUACAGGAACACGAGGAGGAUGGACGACCACGGGCACCGCCGCGAGGAGGCGGAAGAGGAAGAGAUGGGUGAGGGGAAGGGGGAGAAAAAGAAGAGAAGGGCGAUGGGUGGGGCCGCCGCCGCCGACGGCGAGGCGAUCCCCGCGGCGGCGCCGUGCAAGGCCAAGAGAUCAGGGGUACGCCGAAGAACUAGCUAG